UAAGGAAUAUUGGUCAAUGGACGCAAGUCUGAACCAGCCAUGCCGCGUGAAGGAUGAAGGUCCUCUGGAUUGUAAACUUCUUUUAUCUGGGACGAAAACGGAAUUUUUAUCUCAAUUGACGGUACCAGAGGAAUAAGCACCGGCUAACUCCGUGCCAGCAGCCGCGGUAAUACGGAGGGCGCGAGCGUUAUCCGGAUUUACUGGGUUUAAAGGGUGCGUAGGUGGGCUUAUAAGUCAGUGGUGAAAUCUCCGAGCUUAACUUGGAAACUGCCGUUGNUACUAUAGGNNNUGAAUUAUCUGGGGGUAAGCGGAAUAUGUCAUGUAGCGGUGAAAUGCUUAGAUAUGACAUAGAACACCAAUUGCGAAGGCAGCUUACUACAUAUAAAUUGACGCUGAGGCACGAAAGCGUGGGGAUCAAACA
rnacentral:rRNA from 1 species